GUACCACUUCUUAUUGAUCAAAUCAAUUCUUCUUCCUAGUUUUCUUUAUUUUUUAUUUUUUUGUAUUUGCUCAAGGCAGUCUUCCUAAAGUCCAAACAAGUGUUCAUUGUGGGCAUGAAGUGAAACCCCAACCUCUCCACCACAUUAAAUAAUUUCUGCUGAAGGGCUUCAAAAAAGAAUCUGAGAAGGACAUAAGAAAUUCCCACAGACUAUUUAUCUCAGGAAUUCACUUCCUGACUCAACAAUCCCAGUCUAUUAAGCAACCGGCAGAAGCUCAGGCAUGGUAUCUAUGAUUCCCGUUUGGCACGGAAUCACAGAACUCAACACAACAGCUGCCUUCACUAUCAUAUGUGCAUACUGAAUAAGAGAUUUCUGCUUUACAAGAAGCUAUUUCAGAAAGUCCAACAUACAGCUGCUCUAUCUUCAUAUGUCACUCCUUGAAGGAAGUCAUUUUACCGACUGUUCUGGACUUUUUUCUUUUUUUGGUCUGUACUCACAUACUAUAAGUGAAUAAAAUCCCAAAUAUAUGCUUCCA
rnacentral:lncRNA from 1 species